rnacentral:rRNA from 1 species
GACGAACGCUGGCGGCGUGCUUAGCACAUGCAAGUCGAACGGAAAGGCCCUGCUUUUGUGGGGUGCUCGAGUGGCGAACGGGUGAGUAACACGUGAGUAACCUGCCCUUGACUUUGGGAUAACUUCAGGAAACUGGGGCUAUUACCGGAUAGGAGCUCCUGCUGCAUGGUGGGGGUUGGAAAGUUUCGGCGGUUGGGGAUGGACUCGCGGCUUAUCAGCUUGUUGGUGGGGUAGUGGCUUACCAAGGCUGUGACGGGUAGCCGGCCUGAGAGGGUGACCGGCCACAUGGGGACUGAGAGAGGGCCCAGACUCCUACGGGAGGCAGCAGGGGAGAAUAUUGCACAAUGGGCGGAAGCGUGAUGCAGCAACGCUGCGUGCGGGAUGACGGCCUUCGGGUUGUAAACCGCUUUCGCCUGUGACGAAGCGUGAGUGACGGUAAUGGGUAAAGAAGCACCGGCUAACUACGUG